CGGCUGUAGCUAUAUCAAUACCCAUUUGAGAAGUUAACUGGCCGGUUGUUGUGAGAUUUUUUUUUUUCAAAUCUCCGUCAACAAAUCUGCUUACCGAACUUCUCACACUU